rnacentral:rRNA from 1 species
UACGUAGGGUGCAAGCGUUAAUCGGAAUUACUGGGCGUAAAGCGUGCGCAGGCGGUUUUGUAAGUCUGUCGUGAAAUCCCCGGGCUCAACCUGGGAAUUGCGAUGGAGACUGCAAGGCUAGAAUCUGGCAGAGGGGGGUAGAAUUCCACGUGUAGCAGUGAAAUGCGUAGAGAUGUGGAGGAAUCACCGAUGGCGAAGGCAGCCCCCUGGGUCAAGAUUGACGCUCAUGCACGAAAGCGUGGGGAGCAAACAGG